CCCUGCAGUACAAGACACAGAAAAGCCUCCACACAACCUUGAUCCUUGAUUGUGAUAACUGGGGAGUGGAUUGGAAGAGGCUUUAGAUUAUUUAGGGCUAAAACUGACAGGGCAGCUCGGCACUUGUAGCCGGAAGGUUUCAGAGGACAUUUGCUGAGUGCAGCAGUCAUGGCUGCUGGCUUCCUGAUUUUAAGAUUGUUGCUUUUUUGGAUAUUCAGUGAUGCAACACACUCCUAUUUUUGGCCGAAAGACAAUUCUGGAUAUCGUACAGCUUUGC